rnacentral:tRNA from 4 species
ACUUCUUUAGUAUAAAUAAUAUAUUUGACUUCCAAUCAAAAGAUCUUAAUAAAGAAGAAGUA